AUUGAACGCUGGCGGCAGGCCUAACACAUGCAAGUCGAACGGGUGGCGGACGGGUGAGUACUGUCUGGGAAACUGACUGAUGGAGAGGGAUAACUACUGGAAACGGUAGCUGAUACCGCAUACCAUCGGAUGUGCCCAGAUGGGAUUAGCUAGUAGGUGGGGUAAAGGCUCACCUAGGCGACGAUCCGUAGCUGGUCUGAGAGGAUGACCAGACACACUGGGACUGAGACACGGGCCAGCCUCCUAAGGGAGGCAGCAGUGGGGAAUAUUGCACAAUGGGGGUAAGCCUGAUGCAGCCAUGCCGCGGGGAGGAAGAAGGCCUUCGGGUUUUAAAGUACUUUCAGCGGGGAGGCGUUACCCGCAGAAGAAGCACCGGCUAACUCCGUGCCAGCAGCCGCGGUAAUUC
rnacentral:rRNA from 1 species